CGAGUGGCGGACGGGUGAGUAACGCGUGGGUAGCCUGCCUUACACAGGGGGAUAACACCUGGAAACAGGUGCUAAUACCGCAUAAGCGCACAGGGCCGCAUGGCCCGGUGUGAAAAACUCCGGUGGUGUAAGAUGGACCCGCGUCUGAUUAGCUUGUUGGCGGGGUAGGGGCCCACCAAGGCGACGAUCAGUAGCCGGCCUGAGAGGGUGGACGGCCACAUUGGGACUGAGACACGGCCCAAACUCCUACGGAAGGCAGCAG
rnacentral:rRNA from 1 species